ACUUAUGGCCACACCACUGUGCCCAAUCCCAUCUGAUCUCGUAAGCGAAGCACGGUCAGGCCCAGUUAGUACUUGGAUGGGGGACCGCCUAGGAAUACCUGGUGUUGUAAGCU
rnacentral:rRNA from 1 species